AGACAAUAAAUUUUAACUUGCAAUUAAUACACACUUAAAUUUUUAAGUAUUGUCUA
rnacentral:tRNA from 1 species